UGUUCUGUGGCUCAGUUGGUUAAAGCGCCGGUCUAGCGAAUACGAAGUCAUGGGUGCGAAUCCCAUCAGAACGC
rfam:Aedes albopictus isolate Foshan contig15520, whole genome shotgun sequence.